rnacentral:rRNA from 1 species
AGUGAACGCUGGCGGUAGGCCUAACACAUGCAAGUCGAACGGCAGCACAGUAAGAGCUUGCUCUUACGGGUGGCGAGUGGCGGAAGGGUGAGGAAUACAUCGGAAUCUACUUUUUCGUGGGGGAUAACGUAGGGAAACUUACGCUAAUACCGCAUACGACCUACGGGUGAAAGCAGGGGAUCUUCGGACCUUGCGCGAUUGAAUGAGCCGAUGUCGGAUUCGCUAGUUGGCGGGGUAAAGGCCCACCACGGCGACGAUCCGUAGCUGGUCUGAGAGGAUGAUCAGCCACACUGGAAGUGAGACACGGUCCAGACUCCUACGGGAGGCAGCAGUGGGGAAUAUUGGACAAUGGACGCAAGCCUGAUCCAGCCAUACCGCGUGGGUGAAGAAGGCCUUCGGGUUGUAAAGCCCUUUUGUUGGGAAAGAAAAGCAGCAGGUUAAUACCCCGCUGUUCUGACGGUACCAAAAGAAGAAGCACCGGCUAACUUCGUG